rnacentral:snoRNA from 1 species
GUGAAAACUUCAUGAUAUUGAUCUGGGCAAUGGUUUUUUUUAAAGAUAAGACUCCCCUAGACAACUUUUGAAGGUAAAUUAGUAGCAUGACUGAUUUAGCCAUUGCUGUCAGUCACCUUCAGAAAAGA